UACGUAGGGUGCGAGCGUUGUCCGGAAUUAUUGGGCGUAAAGAGCUCGUAGGCGGUUUGUCGCGUCUGCCGUGAAAGUCCGGGGCUCAACUCCGGAUCUGCGGUGGUACGGGCAGACUAGAGUGAUGUAGGGGAGACUGGAAUUCCUGGUGUAGCGGUGAAAUGCGCAGAUAUCAGGAGGAACACCGAUGGCGAAGGCAGGUCUCUGGGCAUUAACUGACGCUGAGGAGCGAAAGCAUGGGGAGCGAACAGG
rnacentral:rRNA from 1 species